GAAGCCCGCCAGACCACCGCUGGUGCAAUUUGGGAAACCAAGCACUGGAGGAACGUCCGGACUGCAUAGGGCAGCGUAGCAGUUAACGACUGUCCACUGACAAGCGGUUGGCGCAAGCCAGACGCCCUAAGGUGAGGAUUAGAGCAACAGAGACGAGUCGGUGUCGAGGUCCCGCAAGGGAAAAUCUCGCAUCGGGUGAAACGGGCAAUCUCUACGCGCAGCAAUACCAAGUAGGCCAACGUUGACGGGGCCCCCGGAGUUGGCGGGUAGGUAGCAUCGAGCCGUUUGGGUGACCAGCGGCCCAGAGUAAUGGUGGUCACAAGGGGGGCAACUCCCUUGCACAGAAUCCGGCUUAUCGGUGGGCUUCACAC
rnacentral:RNase_P_RNA from 1 species